rnacentral:lncRNA from 1 species
AAGGAACAGCCAGUGUUGCAAACCUGGCAGCAUCUAGGGCUCUUUUUUCUUUCCCCGUUUUCACUGUUAAAAUUCAUCUCCGACAUGGCACCCAGGGCUGAAAUCAACAGUCUCUUAUCAGAUCCCAGAUCUGUCAGCCGAUGUCUACCAGCCGCCUGGAGCCAAAAGCCUCUUAGCACAUGUGUGACUCGAGCUGAAAAGGGGCUGGGACGACAGCGCAGGCAGCUUUGUUCUGGCGCCCUUGUUCCCAAACAUUUGCUCAUUUCGAGCCCGGGAGGCAGCGUCUCAGAUCCACGGCUUCCAGGCCUGGUUCAAGCCUUGGUCUCUGUUCCGCAGCCACCAGCCACCAGCCCGGGGCCAUGGGGCCAGCGGCCAUGCUCAUCCCGCAUCCCUCGGCUCCUGCUCUUUCCUGCAAACCCAGGCGUCUGACCAGUGGAACGACCUGGUCCAAGGAGCCAGGCCAAAGCGAGGGGACCCUCGGGCCCUGAGAACAGGCGCCUGGCCUCCCUGUGCCCACCUGCUCUGCAGGGACCCGCAGGUCUCCAGCCUUACGGAAGGGUCACUCCUCUGCAGCUCGGCUGCUUGACCUCCCUCCGGAGGCUCCCUCCCCCCGCUUUACUUCCCUUUGUCAACAUCCCAGCCUCGGGCUCCUGCGAGGGGCCUUAGUUUAAACUUGAUUCUCCAUCACGGUAAUUCUUUUUUUUUGUCUUUUUAGGGCUGCACCCAAGGCAUAUGGAAGUUCCCAGGACAGGGAUUGAACUGGAGAUGCAGCUGCCAACCUAUCCCACAGCCACAGCUCCACAGACACAGGCGUGUCUGACCUACUCCACGGCUCACGGCAACACCAGAUCCUUAACCCACUGAGCGAGGCCAGGAAUCGAACCUCGUCCUCAUGGAUUCUAGUCAGGUUCAUUACCGCUGAGCCACUCCUGUCACAGUAAUUUUAUAUUUAUAUGUAUUUAUAAAGAGGUAUUUAUAUACUUAUAUUAAUACAUUAAUAUAUCAGUAUGUUAAUACUGAUACCCAUUAUUCUUUAUAUAUUUAUAUUAAUAUUUAUAUAUCUAUAAAGAGGUAUUUAUAUAUUUAUUUACAUUAGUAUAUAAAUACUGUAUCAAUGCUAAUAUUAAUCUAGCAUUAAUCUUUAUAUGUUUAUAUUUAUGUAUUUAGAGGCGUUUAUAUAUUUAUUUACAUUAAUACAUUAAUACUAUAUCGAUAUGUUAAUGUUAACCCGUUAUUCAUCUUUAUAUAUUUAUGUAAUCUUUUUUAUACACAUUUUAAGGCUUUUCCCCCCAAAAGUCUAGAGGGCGUGCGCAUGUGCCCAGCACCCUAAAUCUUCGAGUGACAUCAUCCUUUCCUCCGAGACUCUUACUGAUUCUGUUUCAUAGAUCAAAAAUUAAUCUACAUAGUAGUCCCCGUUAUUGCUUCCUUGUUUGGUUUUUCAUUCCCUAGCUAAUUCAAAUUUUAUUUGAUGAUACUGUGAAAUUUUUUUUUGUCUUUUGUCUUUUUACGGCUGCACCUGCGGCACAUGGAGGUUCCAUGCGGCAGGAUCCGAGCUGCGUCUGCGACCUACACCACAGCUCAGAGCAACAUCAGAUCCUUAACCCACCGAGUGAGGCCAGGGAUGGAACCCUCGCCCUCAGGGAUACUAGUCGGGUUCAUUAACCACUGAGCCACGACGGGAACGCCGAUACUGUGAACUAUUGAGGAGGUACACAGUGUAUAUAGAAUAAUUCAGGGAACUACUCUGUAUCCACCAUCCGAUUGAAGAAAUAAAACCGUGCCCAUACAUUGGGGCUCUCAGGGUAUCAGCUCCAGGCUGCAUUCGUAUUGAACCCCGCACGAGUCGAUAAACACCACCGUGAAAUCAGACCGUAUCAUCACAGUGCUUUGCUUUACACAAUUAUUACAUAGGUCUGCAUCUCUGCACAGGAUAGAGUAUCCUGUCCACGUUUUAUUUAUUUUUUUUAUCAAUGAACCUCAGCAUAUGUAUUCCUCUGUGACCCUUUCCUUAUCCAAUAUUACAUUUUUGAGAUUCCUGCAUGUUAACAUAUAACACACUGACUUCUGCCUUUUUCAUGGCUGUGUAGUACUCCCCACAUGGAUAUAUCACAAUUCACGGAUCUCUUGAUUUACUGAUGACAUUUAAAGUGCUUAUGGUUUUUUACAUAACAAUUUGAGAAAUGCUGUGAACAUUCUAGGACUGGUCCUCUUUCUUCUUUCAAAGUGGGGGCAUUGUCUUAACAGAUUUUCUAAUAUUAAACCAGCUUUGGAUUCCUGGGAGAAACCCAACUUAGUCAUGAUAUAUUUUUAUUCUUAUGAAUUACUGGAUUCAGUCUGAAACUUUAACACCAAAGCCUGUAGGCAGUCACAGGUGGCAGGUGGCUGAUCCCAGACUCAGGACCAUCCUUGACGGGCCUCGUAACCGACUCCCUUUUGACGGUUCCAGGCACACAGCCCAAACCUCCCCUGUGCCCCCACCCCCAGAACGCCCUCCACCUGGCUCCCAUCC